UCUAGGACGUCUUUUUUUAUUUUAUUUGUUCCAUUUACUGUAUUUUUCAUUAAUAUUCGUGUUUAAUAGUUAUGUUUUAACACCGUUACCGCAGUAAGUCAGUUUAAUGUAUCUAACUUUUAUAGGCAUUUGAUAAGGCGUGAUCUUUCGGACGGAAAUAAUAAAAAAUAAACCACCAAAAUUACGGUGGCGCGGAAUCCGAAAUCCCAUCGCUGGUUCAUUGCGUUAUGUCGCAAUAAAUUAUAUUAUUAUAUUAAUAUCAUAAACUCGUAAAAUA